rnacentral:rRNA from 1 species
ACGGGUGAGUAACGCGUGGGAAUCUACCCAUCUCUACGGAACAACUCCGGGAAACUGGAGCUAAUACCGUAUACGUCCUUCGGGAGAAAGAUUUAUCGGAGAUGGAUGAGCCCGCGUUGGAUUAGCUAGUUGGUGGGGUAAUGGCCUACCAAGGCGACGAUCCAUAGCUGGUCUGAGAGGAUGAUCAGCCACACUGGGACUGAGACACGGCCCAGACUCCUACGGGAGGCGGCAGUGGGGAAUAUUGGACAAUGGGCGCAAGCCUGAUCCAGCCAUGCCGCGUGAGUGAUGAAGGCCCUAGGGUUGUAAAGCUCUUUCAACGGUGAAGAUAAUGACGGUAACCGUAGAAGAAGCCCCGGCUAACUUCGUGCCAGCAGCCGCGGUAAUACGAAGGGGGCUAGCGUUGUUCGGAAUUACUGGGCGUAAAGCGCACGUAGGCGGAUACUUAAGUCAGGGGUGAAAUCCCGGGGCUCAACCCCGGAACUGCCUUUGAUACUGGGUAUCUCGAGUCCGGAAGAGGUGAGUGGAAUUCCGAGUGUAGAGGUGAAAUUCGUAGA